rnacentral:rRNA from 1 species
UACGUAGGGUGCAAGCGUAAUCGGAAUUACUGGGCGUAAAGCGUGCGCAGGCGGUUUUGUAAGUCUGUCGUGAAAUCCCCGGGCUCAACCUGGGAAUUGCGAUGGAGACUGCAAGGCUAGAAUCUGGCAGAGGGGGGUAGAAUUCCACGUGUAGCAGUGAAAUGCGUAGAGAUGUGGAGGAACACCGAUGGCGAAGGCAG